rnacentral:rRNA from 1 species
CGAUCCAGCGACGCCGCGUGGGUGAAGAAGGCCUGCGGGUUGUAAAGCCCUUUCGGUGGGGAAGAAAAGCCUCGACCUAAUACGUCGGGGUCUUGACGUAACCCACAAAAGAAGCACCGGCUAACUCUGUGCCAGCAGCCGCGGUAAUACAGAGGGUGCGAGCGUUAAUCGGAAUUACUGGGCGUAAAGCGCACGUAGGCGGCUCUGCAAGUCGGGUGUGAAAUCCCCGGGCUCAACCUGGGAACUGCAUUUGAUACUGCAUUGCUGGAGUAUGGGAGAGGGAAGUGGAAUUUCCGGUGUAGCGGUGAAAUGCGUAGAUAUCGGAAGGAACACCAGUGGCGAAAGCGACUUCCUGGACCAAUACUGACGCUCAGGUGCGAAAGCGUGGGGAGCAAACAGGAUUAGAUACCCUGGUAGUCCACGCCAUAAACGAUGAGAACUGGAUGUCGGGAGGGUUAGCCUCUCGGUGUCGUAGCUAACGCGUUAAGUUCUCCGCCUGGGGAGUACGGCCGCAAGGUUG